rnacentral:misc_RNA from 1 species
ACGCAUGACUAUGACGUCAAAAUGCGCAACGUGGUCAAAUUUCUUGAAAAUGGCGACAAGGUAAAGAUCACCCUGCGCUUUCGUGGCCGCGAGAUGGCCCAUCAGGAUCUGGGCCGCCAGCUUUUGGAACGUAUCGCCGAGGAUAUCAAAACCGUCGGGCGUGUUGAAAACAUGCCCAAGAUGGAAGGCCGCCAGAUGAUCAUGAUCAUCGGCCCCGGCCCGAAAUAGACACCCGGCCCCCUCUCAAAGACGUCAUGACCCCCGGCCCUAUGGUCCGGGGGUUUUGCAUGCCCCCUUGCGCCGCGCGGUCAGUCGCGUAGGAUGCACCGCUCUGACAA